GAUGAAGAACGUAGCGAAAUGCGAUAAGUAGUGUGAAUUGCAGAAUUCAGUGAAUCAUCGAAUCUUUGAACGCACAUUGCGCCCUUUGGUAUUCCAAAGGGCAUGCCUGUUCGAGCGUCAUUUGUACCCUCAAGCUUUGUUUGGUGUUGGGCGUCUUGUCUCUAGCUUUGCUGGAGACUCGCCUUAAAGUAAUUGGCAGCCGGCCUACUGGUUUCGGAGCGCAGCACAAGUCGCACUCUCUAUCAGCAAAGGUCUAGCAUCCAUUAAGCCUUUUUUUCAACUUUUGACCUCGGAUCAGGUAGGGAUACCCGCUGAACUUAAGCAUAUCAAUAAGCGGAGGA
rnacentral:misc_RNA from 1 species